AGUGAACGCUGGCGGUAGGCCUAACACAUGCAAGUCGAACGGCAGCACAGUAAGAGCUUGCUCUUACGGGUGGCGAGUGGCGGACGGGUGAGGAAUACAUCGGAAUCUACUUUGUCGUGGGGGAUAACGUAGGGAAACUUACGCUAAUACCGCAUACGACCUACGGGUGAAAGCAGGGGAUCUUCGGACCUUGCGCGAUUGAAUGAGCCGAUGUCGGAUUAGCUAGUUGGCAGGGUAAGGGCCCACCAAGGCGACGAUCCGUAGCUGGCCUGAGAGGAUGAUCAGCCACACUGGAACUGAGACACGGUCCAGACUCCUACGGGAGGCAGCAGUGGGGAAUAUUCGACAAUGGGCGCAAGCCUGAUCCAGCCAUACCGCGUGGGUGAAGAAGGCCUUCGGGUUGUAAAGCCCUGUUGUUGGGAAAGAAAAGCAGCAGGUUAAUACCCCGCUGUUCUGACGGUACCCAAAGAAUAAGCACCGGCUAACUACGUG
rnacentral:rRNA from 1 species